AUCCAGCUGACCAAUCCCAAAUAGGAUGAAACGCGCUUCCCAGAU
rfam:Schistosoma mansoni, Puerto Rico, WGS project CABG01000000 data, contig: 0238